rnacentral:rRNA from 1 species
AGAGUUUGAUCAUGGCUCAGGAUGAACGCUAGCUACAGGCUUAACACAUGCAAGUCGAGGGGCAGCAUGAUUUGUGCUUGCACAAAUUGAUGGCGACCGGCGCACGGGUGCGUAACACGUAUCCAAUCUACCCAUGGCUCGGGAAUAGCCUUUCGAAAGAAAGAUUAAUGCCCGAUGGUCUGUGUUUGAGACAUCUCGACCACAGUAAAGAUUUAUCGGCGAUGGAUGAGGAUGCGUCCGAUUAGGUAGUAGGCGGGGCAACGGCCCACCUAGCCUACGAUCGGUAGGGGUUCUGAGAGGAAGGUCCCCCACAUUGGAACUGAGCCAUGAUCAAACUC